CAAUCAGUCAGAUUGAACUGCAAAUUAGAAUGAGAAGGGAUAUUGAAGUAUUUUGGAAAACUUGACCUGCUAUUAUGUAGCUUUCCCCAAUGUGAAAUACCCCAAUCCCAAAGAGAAUAGUUUUAAAAGCAAAUUUUGUAACACAUGAAGGAAGAAGGGGGGAGGGGGGGGGAAGGCACACAUCUAUUUUUAUGAAGUGGGGUUUCAUGCAAGCACAGCAGUUCAACCCCACUUUGUCCAAGAAAUGUAGAAAUAUCCAAACACAGUGCUGGGAAAUAAGUGGGAAAGAAGCAGGGUUUGGUUUGGUUCGGUUUGGUUUGGUUUUUAAUAUAUACUUCACUUAUAAUGUUCUGAGCUUCAAAAACUUUGUAGAAAAACUAUCACUCAGCUGCAGAGUAUCAGUAUAUUAACAAAAGUUUGCUCUAAUUCCUUUCAGUGAACAUCAGCCAACUUUGUGCAUGAGGCAGAAGCAGUAGGUUAUAUUUUUACUGUGAUAAGAUUUUUUGUAAUAACUUACAAGAUACUGUCACAGACACAUUAAGGAAUAAUGAAUAAUCUGUGCUAUGUCCAUGACAGACAUGAAAGCAGUUACAAGACCACAACAAGACAGAGCUUCAGAAAAAGGAUAAAUAACAGCCUUUGUCUUAAAGAGCAAUGAGUUUACACAAAAUCACACAGGAAGCUGUGGUGAAGCUGACAAUACUUCACAAAUUAUGUCCUACUUUGUAACCUUCAUCACAACAUGCUUUCUCCUCACUGACUGUCUAGUGGCAAUGUCAUAGGAUAAUCAUGACAGACAUGAUGGCCCACACCAAGUGGUACUUAGUAGCCUAUUAUUCACUAUUAUUCUGUUACACAAUAAAUACACUUCCACAUUAUA